rnacentral:rRNA from 1 species
GACGAACGCUGGCGGCGUGGAUUAGGCAUGCAAGUCGAACGGUAGAUAUCCUUCGGGGUAUUGAGAGUGGCGAACGGGUGAGUAACACGUAGGUAAUCUACCCUCAAAUCGGGGACAACCCAGGGAAACUUGGGCUAAUACCGGAUGAGUGCAGCACCUAAAUCAUCCAUACGGAAUCUGGUUAAGAUUGGGUUUUGUAUGGUUGGGUGAUUUAGGUGCUGUAUAAAAGAUGGCUUCGGCUGUCGUUUGAGGAUGAGCCUGCGCUCUAUUAGUUAGUUGGUGAGGUAAUGGCUCACCAAGGCGAUGAUAGAUAGGCGGCCUUAACGGGUGGUCGCCCACACUGGGAUUGAGACACGGUCCAGACUCCUACGGGAGGCAGCAGUGGGGAAUAUUGCACAAUGGGCGAAAGCCUGAUGCAGCAACGCCGCGUGAGCGAUGAAGGCCU